UUAGCAGAUGAGCAAGUAGAAAUAUGAUUAAAUUCGUUAGCAUCAAGAGCACAAUAAAGAACAUUCAUUGCUUUAGCAUUUAAUUGGGCUAUUUUCUUAUCAAUCUCAUCCCAUUCUUUCUCGGGUUUGGUUGAUUCCACACCAUCUAUAAUUUUAGUGGGUGUGUGAGGAUCGUUCACUAUGAUACUCCACAUAUCAUAGUCGAGUGCUUGAAUGAAUAUUUUCAUCCGAGCUUUCCAAUAGGUGUAAUUAGACCCAUUGAAAAGUGGAGGUCGGUUGGUGGAUUGCCCCUCGGCUAGAGAAGUGCCGACUUGAGUUGCCAUAGAUCUUUGGCUCUUUGAUUGUUUAGAUCAAAGUAGAGCUAGAGCACCG
rnacentral:lncRNA from 1 species